UAAGCGGAGGAAAAGAAACUAACAAGGAUUCCCCUAGUAACUGCGAGUGAAGCGGGAAAAGCUCAAAUUUAAAAUCUGGUGGUCUUUGGCCAUCCGAGUUGUAAUUUAGAGAAGCGUCUUCCGCGCUGGACCGUGCACAAGUCUCCUGGAAUGGAGCGUCAUAGAGGGUGAGAAUCCCGUCUUUGGCACGGAUGUACCAGGGCUUUUGUGAUGCGCUCUCGAAGAGUCGAGUUGUUUGGGAAUGCAGCUCAAAAUGGGUGGUGAACUCCAUCUAAAGCUAAAUAUUGGCGAGAGACCGAUAGCGAACAAGUACCGUGAGGGAAAGAUGAAAAGCACUUUGGAAAGAGAGUGAAACAGUACGUGAAAUUGUUGAAAGGGAAACGCUUGAAGUCAGUCGCGUCGACCGAGACUCAGCCUUGCCUCGGCUUGGUGUACUUCUCGGCUGACGGGUCAGCAUCAAUUUUGCCCCUUGGAUAAUGGCGAGGGAAAUGUGACACCUUUACGGUGUGUUAUAGUCUCUCGUCGCAUGCAAGGGUCGGGAUUGAGGAACUCAGCACGCGCCCUCGGGCGUCGGGGCUUUGCCCACGAUACGUGCUUAGGAUGUUGGCGUAAUGGCUUUNAACGANC
rnacentral:rRNA from 1 species